rnacentral:tRNA from 1 species
GGGGCUGUGGCUCAGUGGUAGAGCGCUCGCCUGGCAUGUGUGAGGCCCUGGGUUCUGCCCCUAGCACCA